rnacentral:rRNA from 1 species
UACGAAGGGGGCUAGCGUUGCUCGGAAUGACUGGGCGUAAAGGGCGCGUAGGCGGAUGGCUUUGUCGGGCGUGAAAUUCCAGGGCUUAACCUUGGGGCUGCGUUCGAGACGGGUUGUCUUGAGUGGGGAAGAGGGUCGUGGAAUUCCCAGUGUAGAGGUGAAAUUCGUAGAUAUUGGGAAGAACACCGGUGGCGAAGGCGGCGACCUGGUCCUUUACUGACGCUCAUGCACGAAAGCGUGGGGAGCAAACAGG